rnacentral:rRNA from 1 species
AUGGCCAACACACCCUGUUCCUGGGAGGACAGAUGGAUAAACGGGCGUGCGAUCCGCGAGAUCGCGCCUCUCCUUUAUGCUCUCAUCCCCAAACGGCGUCGCAAGUCCAGAACUGUAGCGGACGGCCUUCAUGCGAACCAAUGGGCCACGGACAUCCACGGCAUGAUUGGCAUCCCGGAGAUUGGAGAAUACCUACGCCUCUGGCACAUGCUCGCUGAAACUUCCCUCAGCGACGCACCAGACUGCAUUCGCUGGAAGUGGACCGCGAACGGCGAGUACUCCGCCAAGUCCACAUACCUUGCCACUUUUCAUGGCUCCACCAGAUGCCAGGCUUGGAAGCUUACCUGGAAGUGCUGGGCACCGCCUCGGGUGCGCUUCUUCCACUGGCUUGCCAACCUCGACCGGUGCUGGACGGCCGACCGCCUAGCGCGACGCAACCUGCCGCACCCACAGCGUUGCCCACUUUGCGAUCAGGCUCCGGAGACGAUUCAUCAUCUUCUCCUGGAGUGCCCUUUCAACCGCGAAGUGUGGCACGAGAUCCUCUCAUGGCUGCGCCUCUCCUGCCUGCUGCCCAAUGAUGAUGCCACUCUCCACGACUGGUGGCGCUCUGCAAGACAUGACACCCCUAAACCUAUGCACAAGGGAUUGGCCUCCGCUGCCUUGCUCGUCCCUUGGAUGAUUUGGAAGCAUCGCAAUGGAUGCAUGUUUGAGGGCGCACCACCAUCGGUUACCUCCCUGACUGCUAGGAUUAAGAGGCCGCACUCUGGGCCAGAGCUGGAGCCUUAG